CUUCCUUGCAGAAAUUUCUUUUCUGCCUGUUGUUAAUUUCCUGCCCUGACUCCAAUCUACCUGGUAGGAAACUACUUUCUGAUUUUUAUUCCCACGGAAUAUUCGUUUUAUUCCUAAAUGUUUCUAAUUUUUUCUUCCAAGAUCUCUGUGGUUCUGGCUAUACAUUUAAAUGUAAAAUCAUUUUGAGCUGAAGUUUUGUGCAUGGAGUACAGAAGAAUUGACUGUCUCUAUGGUUCGUUCAUUUUUCUACUUCACGAUUCCUUUAUUUUUAUUGGCUUAUAGUUAUUGUCUUUGAGCUUCUUUUUUAGUCUCCUUUUUCAGGGUUCUUAUUAUAAAAGCACAUAUGAUUGCCUUUCGUCCUUUGCUCAUUUCCUCUGCGGGCAUUUACAGUUGUAAUUUCUCUCUAAGCACUAUGGUGGCUGUACCCAGCAUUUUGAUGUGUUGGGUCAUCAUCAUUCAGUUACCAAUGUUUUGAAUUUUUUAUUGUCAGCUCAUCUUUGACCCACGUGACCCAUACCAACAGGGUGUAUUGCUUGUUUUCUAAAAUUGGGGGUUUUCUAGAUGUCUUAUUGUUAUGGAUUUCCAAUUAAAUACUAUUAUGCCCAGAGCAUAUGCCAUGUAUGAUUUUGAUUUUGGAUAUAUAUUGAGACUUGUUAUAUGGUGCAGCGUAUGGUCUAAGUUGGUGAAAAUGCCGUAAACACUCGAAAACAAUGCUUUCUGCAGUUGUUGGAAGUAAUACUCUACAGAUGAUUUGCUUUGAAACCCCACUCUGGAUCUUGCCCUCCGUCCGUGUUGCAGACAUUCAACUACUGCUUGGGACCUGACUAGCAACACUUCAAACCCACUUGCCUAGAAGAGGUUGGCCCUGUGCUUCAAGAUGUAGCAGCUUGUUCUCUGAAGCUCUCAGAACUAGCUACAAGUUCUGGGUCUUGCUGAGACCACUCAGGUGCAUCACAUGCCUUUGCCUGCUGUAGCAGAUGCUGGAGUGCACCUUACAGACCCCCCAUCACCUUCAGGAUGGGGCAGGACAUUCCCUCAGCUGUUGAGAGUUCUGGAGCCUGGCAGAUUUCAGCCAAUGUCUCCUGGAGUCUCUGAGUAGAACCAAUAAAUAUAAGCCCUAAAGAAAGUGAGAAAUUAAACAAAGGGCAAGACUGAUGGGGGCCACACUACUAAAUUUCUUUUGUUUUUAAGCAGCUUUACUAAGGUAUAAUUGACAUAUCAUAACAUUCCUGUGUUUUAAGUGUACAGUUCAAUUAUUUUCCAUAAAAUUUUAGACUUGUGUGGCCAUCACCAUGAUCCUGCUUUGCACCAUUUCUACCAUUCCUGAGAAAUCCCUCCUGCUCAUCAGUCACCACCCCUUUUCGCUAGUCCCCAGCUCCAGGCAGCGCCCAAUUGACGUACCGACUCUACAGAUUUUCCUUUUCUGGGCACUGUAUAAAUAGAAUCAUGCAAUACGUGGUCUUUUGUAUCUGUUUUCUUUCACUUAGCUUAACGUACUUUCACGGUUCAUGUAUGUGGCAGCACGUAUCAAUAUUUCAUUCCUUUUAGGUGCCAAAUCCUAUUAAAUUGUAUGGAUAACUUUCAUUGCUUUAUUAGUUCAUCAGUGGAUAGAUAUUUGAUGUGUUUCUGCUUCAUGAAUUGUUACAGAUAAAGCUGCUAUGAAUAUUCACCUUCAUGUUUUGUGUGGAAAUAGUUUUUUUUUUCUUUUGGGCUGUUAGCUAGGAGUGAAAGUCCUAGAUCAUAUGAUAAAUGUAUCUUCAGCAUUGUAAGAAACUGCCUCACUGGUUUCCAACAUGGCUGCAUGUCCUAUCAGCAAUGCAUAUUUCAAUUUGUCACAUCAUUGUUUUUUUCACUUCCUCCAGGUGUUACUGUCCUUUUUUAUUACAGCAUUCUAGUGGGGAAGAAGUGGUGUCACACUGUAGUUUUGAUUUACAUUUCCCUGCCGACCGAUGAGGCUGACCAUCUUUCCAUGUGUUUUGUUGGCCAUUCCUACACCUUUUUGAUGAAAUGGUUAUUCAAAUAUAUUACCCAUUAUAAAAUUGGGUUAUUUACAUUUUUGAUGUUAGUUGUCAGUGUAUUUUAUAUUCUGGAAACAAGUCCUUUAUCAGAUAUAUGAUUUGAAUUUUUUUCUCAGUCUAUGGAUUACCUUUUCAUUUUCUUAUUGAUGACUUUUAAAUGCCAACGUUUUUAGUUUUGAUCAUGUUUCAUUUUUCAACUGGUUUUUAACCAGGAAAAGUUGUUUUCUUUUUGCCUUUUGAGUAUGUUAAUCUAUAUUUUCUUCUAAGAGGUAAACAGUUUUGCCCUUAAAGUUAGGCCCGUGAUUUAUUUUGAAGGAAUUUUUGCCUUUGUGUGUGUUAAUGGCCUAAAUUCAUAUGGCCAAUUAAUUUUUACAAUAGAAAAAUCCAUAUGGAAAAAAGAUAGUCUUUUAAACGAGUGAUACUGAGACAAGUGAAUUGUCCACAUGCUCAGGGAAUAUCAGCAUGCUAUGUCAAGUGUUGCCCAUCUGAGUUACCACCUUUUGACAUCAGAGUGUGUGAAGAAUUUCUAAAUACAAUCAUAUGGUUAAAUAAUAUGCUGCAGCCUUCUGCUUCUCCCCUUCGACCAACAGCCGCCUCUUGUUGUGCGGCACCAGUCACGUCCCCGAGACACCAUGGUGAAGGUGGAAGCCAGAGGCAACGGAUUCAGCCCUGUUGGGUGACUGGUAACCAGGGCUACUUAAAACUCUGGUAAAGUGGAUAUUGUCACCAUUCAUGACCCCUUCAUCGACCUCAAAUCCAUGGUCUACAUGUUCCAGUAUGAUUCCACCCAUGACGAAUUCCAUGGUACCAUCAAGGCUGAGAAUGGGAAGCUUGUCAUCAGUGGAAAUACCACCACCAUCUUCCAAAAGCUAGAGCCCACCAGAAUCAAAUAGGGCGAUGCUGGUACCAAGAACAUCAUAGAGUCCACUGGCGUCUUUACUACCAUGAAGGCUGCGGCUCGCUUGCAGCGGGGAGCUAAAAAGGUCAUCACCUCUAACCCUUCUGCUGACACCCUCAUGUUUGUGAUGGGUGUGAACCAUGAGAAAUAUGACAACAGCCUUAAGAUCAUCAGCAGUGCUUCCUGUACCACCAACUGCUUAGCACCUCUGGCCAGGAUUAUCCAUGACAACUUUGGUGUAGUGAAAGGACUCAUGACCACAGUCACUGCUAUUACUGCCGCACAAAAGGCUGUGGAUGUCCACUCUGUGAAACUGCGGCAUGACAGCUGCAGGGCUCAAAGGAACAUUAUCUUUGCAUCUACUGGCACUGUCAAGGCUGUGGCAAGUGUAUCAAUGAGCUGAGCAGGAGGCUCAGUGGCAGGGCAUUCUGUUACCCCCCCACCACCACGUUGGUCAUGGACUUGACCUGCCAAAUAGGAUAACAUCAAGAAGGUGGUGAAGCAGGCAUCAGAGGGUCCCCAUACGGGCAUCCUGUGCUGCACUGAGAACCAGACUGUCUCUUCCAGCUUAACCAUUGACACCCACUCUUCCACCUUCGAUCCCGGGAUGGGCAUUGCCCUCAGUGACCGCUUUCUCAAUCUCAUUUUCUGAUAUGACAAUGAAUUUGGCUAUAGAAACAGGGCGGUGAACCUCAUGACCCACAUGAUCUCCAAGGAGUAAGACCUCCGAACCACCAGCCCUAGCAGAGCAUCAGAGAAGAGAGGGCCUCAGCUGCUCAGGAGUCCCUGCCACACUCAGUCCCCCACCACACUGAGAAUCUCCCCUCCUCACAGUUUCCAUGCAGAAUCCUGAAGAGGGAGGGGCCUAAAAAAACCCCACCUUGUCAUGUAUCACCAAAAUGUCCCCUGAAUGUGCUCAGAAAAAAAAAUGCUGUAUUAGGAAAACUCACAAAGAUUACUGAUCAACAAAAGAAUAGAGGGCAUGAUUUAGACGGCAUGAUUUCCCCAUCCUCCUAUUUUAUACUGAUGCAUAAAUGAUCAGGAAGUGCUGGGCUCACAAUGGGAGUCUUUGCUCCAGUGUAGGAACAUUAGUCUCCCUUAUUAUAAUUUUUUAUCAUGUAAACACAUGGACACAGCUUUAUCAGUGGAGGAAAACAUGGGUUAUUGGUGUGAAACAAUCUAGAUUUAGGUGCCAGCUGUUCACAAGAUUGUCUGGGAAGAUCAACUGCCCAGCACCUGGAGUCCUUGGGACUCAGGCAAAGGGUUUCCUUUUUCUUAGGGGAGAAAGCCACCCAUUCUACAGAGAGCUUUACCAGGCACAGUUAUUUAUGCUGGGAAAAGGAAAAUUCCUCUUCUUGGCCAGCUUACUAAACUUCUGGGUUACUUUAGGAUAAUUACACCCCUUGUGCUUGAGUCCUAGAGAGGUCUGGUUGGACACGAGUAGCAUAGAAUAAUCUUUAAAGGCACAGGACUAGAUGAAAUAAGCUUAGGUAAAAAUAUUCAUGGAUAAUAGGGAAAGUUUCUGGACUGAAUCCUGAAGUAAACAUAUCAAUAUUUAGAAGUGGAACAGCGGGCUGGGCACAGUGGCUCAUGCCUGUAAUUCCAGCACUUUGGUAGGCCGAGGUGGGUGGAUCACCUGAGGUCAGGAGUUCGCGACCAGCCUGGCCAACAUGGUGAAAUCCUGUCUCUUGUAAAAGUACAAAAAUUAGCUGGGUGUGGUGGUGGGCACCUGUAUUUCCAGCUACUUAGAAGGCUGAGGCAAGAGAAUCGCUUGAGCCUGGGAGGCGGAGUUUGCAGUGAGCUGAGAUUGCGUCACUGCACUUCAGCCUGGGUAAAAAGGAGUGAAACUCCAACACGGAAAAAACAAACAAAAAAACAAAACUGUUGAACAGAAGAGGAGCCAGUUAAAUAUAUUGAGUAGGAGUCGGUGGCGGGCAGAAGGAAAAUUAGGAGGAGAUGGCCUUGUGAAAGUCAAGUGAAGGAAGUAUUUCAAGAGGAGUGUGGUCCGCUAUGUUGGAUGCUGCUGACACACGAAAUGCAACAGGAAGAUAAAACAAUUGAUUAUUGGUUUUGGCAAUGUUGUAAAUCAUUUGGUAAGAGCAACUGCCACAAACAGUUGGGUUGAAAGUUCAACUGGAAAGUCCAACAUACAGUUCAUCUGUGUUGUGGAAUAGAAGAAAAAUGUGAAGAGAGUGAUUAAUAAAAACAACACCUGUUCAAGAAGUUGUGCCAGGAAGAUCUCAGUAAAAAGGUGUUACAGCCAGAGGAGUCCCGAGUUUCUUUUUGUUGUGUUGUCUUAAAGUGGGCUACUCCUUUACUGAUCUUUAGCACCUUGUACAGAGCACCUUGUAGGUGCUCAAACAUUGUUAAGUGUUUGACUAAAUAAAGUGUCUAUGU